AACACAAAAACUUCCACGAUGCUUGAAUCACCAACCGUCCUCAUCCCCAACCUCCCUUUAUAUAAACUGUAAACACAAAAACUCCAUUCAAAAAUUUUUUUCUUACCUUUUUUUUUUUAAUUUUUAUUUUUAGAAGAAUUCAAAUUCAUUUUUUAAACACCAAGAAACUUGCAAAACAUCAUUGUCAUGAACUGUAAAUAAAAACAGGGUGCUUUCCUCAUCAGGGCAAUUUUCUGGAAAUCACUUUUCUCCCUGGAAUUUGCAUAUAUUAUCCUGGAAAUUUGGCAAAAAAACAAAUUACUUUUUAUUAAUUUUUGAGAUCAUAUGAGUUUUUGUCAUGUUCCGAAUUUUUUCUAAUUUUUUUAGUAUUUUUAUUUUAUUUAUUUUUCGUGCCAUCGUUUUACGUGUCAUGCAAUCCGGUGAUUUUAUUGUAUUUUUUUUUUUUUUUUUUGCCAUUGAGGUGUGUGUGUAUAUAUGUGUGUGUGUGUGUGUGAGAGAGAGAGAGAGAGAGAGAGAAAGAGAGGUUAGUGGAAGAUGAUAAUAUGUGGCAUUAGACGAAAGUUGAAGGGGCUUUAGAGGGCGUUUUUGUCUUUGGAAGUGUUAAGUGGACCUUGACAUUGACCAUUGACUCUAGAAAGCUCUUGACUCAUUUUUGGCCACAAGUCUUCACUCUCCAUUCUCUCGGCCAUCACUUUGUUUUCAUCUUCAUUCUUCUCUCUCUCUAUAUUUCUUUCUUUUCUGUAAGAUUUUGCUUACAUAAGUAUAAUUUGAUCUAAGCCAUUGUUAGAAAAGUUAUAGAGCUCGACAAGGACUACAUUUUGGCAUCAAUCUUGCAUCAUUUUGGUGGGAUUUCGAGUUGAGAUCUAAGGGCUUUGGUUGCAUCUUUUGAGGUUAUAGCAAUGACACAGUUGAGGACAAACCCUCACAUGUGUAGUUAGGGUUGACGAGGGCAUUUUUCGACAAUUUUGUAACUAAGGCUUAGUUGAUGUAUUUUCUUUUGUAAAGCAUUGUAAAUGUGACCUUAAAGGUUUAGACUUGUAUUUAAAUUCUUUUAGACCACUUCAAAUGUAAUUUGGGGCAUGUAAUUAUCUAUUUUGAACA